rnacentral:rRNA from 1 species
AUUGAACGCUGGCGGCAGGCCUAAAACAUGCAAGUCGAGCGGAGCGGAGGACGGGUGAGUAAUGCAUAGGAAUCUGCCUGGUAGUGGGGGAUAAAGUACGGAAACGGGCGCUAAUACCGCAUACUAUAAGAUGAGAAUGGGUCGGAUUAGCUAGUGUGUGGGGUGAAGGACUACAAAGGCGACGAUCAGUAACUGGUCUGAGAGGAUGAUCAGUCACUAGUGAACUGAGACACGGUCCAGACUCCUACGGGAGUCAGCAGUGGGGAAUAUUUGACAAUGGGCUAAAGCCUGAUCCAGCCAUGCCGCGUGUGCGAAGAAGGUCUUCGGAUUGUAAAGCACUUUAAGUUUGGAGGCGUUACCAACAGAAUAAGCACCGGCUAACUUCGUGCCAGCCGCCGCGGUAAUUC